rnacentral:rRNA from 1 species
CAGCAGCCGCCGCGGGAAUACGUAGGGUGCGAGCGUUAAUCGGAAUUACUGGGCGUAAAGCGUGCGCAGGCGGUUUUGUAAGACAGAGGUGAAAUCCCCGGGCUCAACCUGGGAACUGCCUUUGUGACUGCAAGGCUAGAGUACGGCAGAGGGGGAUGGAAUUCCGCGUGUAGCAGUGAAAUGCGUAGAUAUGCGGAGGAACACCGAUGGCGAAGGCAAUCCCCUGGGCCUGUACUGACGCUCAUGCACGAAAGCGUGGGGAGCAAACAGGAUUAGAUACCCGAGUAGUCCCUGUCUCUUAUAC